CACGAGAUUCAAGCCUAAGACCUCUCACUUCCAAGUGAAGAGGAAUACCAUUAGACCGUAGUACUGAGUAGCAAGAUUUUAUUGAAUAUACAUAUAUUUAUUGUCAGAAAUCUCUCACAUACGUUUGAAUGACAUUUUAGCAAGUGUGGUGUUAUCUACACAUCUUUUUUUUACCUUUCACGCACCUCUCGAUUGCCGGCCAUUGGGUUGAAUGAAUUAAAGAUCAAAGGACAUUAAUUAACUAAGAGUGUGUGGAAGAUAAAAAAAAAAAAGUGUGGAUGGCACCACCCUUUAAGCAAUCAUCUUAAACUGUUACUAAUGAAUAAAAGUAUAGUUCCAAUAACCAUUUGGCACAACAAUAUUUAACUUUCACUUUAUUGGAGAGGAGAUUUUAAGUUCAAUUACAUGGACAAUGAUGAGUCAAUAUUAUAUUAUAUAUUUUACCCUAUUCUUGGUAUAAUUUGGUAAUUAUUUUGGUAGAAUUUUUGUUAUGCCCACCCUCGUUUUAUUUAAAAAUAGUUUUUGGGUCUUAAUUGGGGAGCCCAAAAGGCCCGCCCCCUGAUAUCUGUCCUCGGUUUCCUAUCUCUCUCUCCUCCCUUU
rnacentral:lncRNA from 1 species